CUACGGGUCGCUGCAGUGAGGAAUUUUGGGCAAUGGGGGCAACCCUGACCCAGCGACGCCGCGUGCAGGAUGACAGCCCUUCGGGUUGUAAACUGCCUUCGGGUAGGAAGAAAAGCCAGGUCACUUGGCUGGGACAGUACUACCAGAAGAAGCACCGGCUAACUACGUGCCAGCAGCCGCGGUAAUACGUAGGGUGCAAGCGUUAUCCGGAAUUACUGGGUGUAAAGGGUGUGUAGGCGGGCUUGUGCGUCGGAGGUUAAAGACCCGGGCUUAACUCGGGAAGUGCCUUCGAUACGGCAAGUCUUGAAUGUGAGAGAGGAUGAUAGAAUUCCUGGUGUAGCGGUGAAAUGCGUAGAUAUCAGGAGGAAUACCAGUAGCGAAGGCGGUCAUCUGGCUCAUUAUUGACGCUGAGGCACGAAAGCGUGGGGAGCGAACAGGAUUAGAUACCCGCGUAGUC
rnacentral:rRNA from 1 species